rnacentral:rRNA from 1 species
AUUGAACGCUGGCGGCAGGCCUAACACAUGCAAGUCGAACGAGUGGCGCAGGGGUGAGUAAUGUCUGGGACACUGCGUGAUGGGGGGGGAUAUCCACUGGACACGGUAUCUAAUACCGCAUACCAUCGGGUGCGCCCAGAUGAGAUUAGCUAGGAGGUGGGGUAAAGGCUCACCUAGGCGACGCUCCCUAGCGGGUCUGAGAGGAUGACCAGCCACACUGGAACUGAGAAACGGUCCAGACUCCUACGGGAGGCAGCAGUGGGGAAUAUUGCACAAUGGGCGCAAGCCUGAUGCAGCCAUGCCGCGUGUAUGAAGAAGGCCUUCGGGUUGUAAAGUACUUUCAGCGGGGAGGCGUUACCCGCAGAAGAAGCACCGGCUAACUCCGUGCCAGCAGCCGCGGUAAUUC